rnacentral:rRNA from 1 species
GGCUUAGGAUGAACGCAGCGACAGGCCUAACACAUGCAAGUCGAGGGGCAGCACAAGGAGCAAUCUGAGGUGGCGACCGGCGCACGGGUGAGUAACACGUAUGCAACCUGCCUGUAAGCGGGGAAGUAACCCGUUGAAAGACGGACUAAUACCGCAUAAUACUAAAUUACUGCAUGGUAAUUUAUUUAAACAUUUAUGGCUUACAGAUGGGCAUGCGCAUGAUUAGCUAGUUGGAGAGGUAACGGCUCCCCAAGGCAACGAUCAUUAGGGGUUCUGAGAGGAAGGUCCCCCACACUGGUACUGAGACACGGACCAGACUCCUACGGGAGGCAGCAGUGAGGAAUAUUGGUCAAUGGACGAGAGUCUGAACCAGCCAAGUCGCGUGCAGGAAGAAUGUCCCUAUGGAUUGUAAACUGCUUUUGCAGGGGAAUAAAGUGCAUCACGUGUGAUGUUUUGUAUGUACUCUGCGAAUAAGGAUCGGCUAACUCCGUGCCAGCCGCCGC